AGUUUGAUCCUGGCUCAGGAUGAACGCUAGCUACAGGCUUAACACAUGCAAGUCGAGGGGCAGCAUUGGAGUAGCAAUACUUCAGAUGGCGACCGGCGCACGGGUGAGUAACACGUAUCCAACCUGCCGCUUACUCGGGGAUAGCCUUUCGAAAGAAAGAUUAAUACCCGAUGGUAUAAAGAGUUCGCAUGUUCUCUUUAUUAAAGAAUUUCGGUAAGCGAUGGGGAUGCGUUCCAUUAGAUAGUUGGCGGGGUAACGGCCCACCAAGUCUACGAUGGAUAGGGGUUCUGAGAGGAAGGUCCCCCACAUUGGAACUGAGACACGGUCCAAAUCCUACGGGAGGCAGCAGUGAGGAAUAUUGGUCAAUGGGCGAGAGCCUGAACCAGCCAAGUAGCGUGAAGGAUGACUGCCCUAUGGGUUGUAAACUUCUUUUAUAAGGGAAUAAAGUGAGGGACGUGUCCCUUUUUGUAUGUACCUUAUGAAUAAGGAUCGGCUAACUCCGUGCCAGCAGCCGCGGUAAUACGGAGGAUCCAAGCGUUAUCCGGAUUUAUUGGGUUUAAAGGGAGCGUAGGUUGACAUAUAAGUCAGCUGUGAAAGUUUACGGCUCAACCGUGAAAUUGCAGUUGAUACUGUAUGUCUUGAGUGUACAAGAGGUGGGCGGAAUUCGUGGUGUAGCGGUGAAAUGCUUAGAUAUCACGAAGAACUCCAAUUGCGAAGGCAGCUCACUGGGGUACAACUGACACUGAGGCUCGAAAGUGUGGGUAUCAAACAGGAUUAGAUACCCUGGUAGUCCACACAGUAAACGAUGAAUACUCGCUGUUUGCGAUAUACAGUAAGCGGCCAAGCGAAAGCAUUAAGUAUUCCACCUGGGGAGUACGCCGGCAACGGUGAAACUCAAAGGAAUUGACGGGGGCCCGCACAAGCGGAGGAACAUGUGGUUUAAUUCGAUGAUACGCGAGGAACCUUACCCGGGCUUGAAUUGCAGAGGAACAUAGUUGAAAGAUUAUGGCCGCAAGGUCUCUGUGAAGGUGCUGCAUGGUUGUCGUCAGCUCGUGCCGUGAGGUGUCGGCUUAAGUGCCAUAACGAGCGCAACCCUUAUCAUUAGUUACUAACAGGUCAUGCUGAGGACUCUAGUGAGACUGCCGUCGUAAGAUGUGAGGAAGGUGGA
rnacentral:rRNA from 1 species